GCAAUCAGAUGGGCGUAUUUUGUAAAGUGAAUUUCUUUAAUGGACUGGCCUGUACGACCUAGAGAUUCUGAAAGGUUGUGAAAUCUGAUUAAUCUUUGCACCGAUCUCUGCUAUUCAAUUAUUGAAUCAUUGCAUUAGUCGGAAUCGAAGCGUCACCUUCAACGGGCUCGUUAUCUCGUUUUUCUCCACUCCUCCCACGAUCUAUCAUUGAAUGCAUCUCCCUUCGUUUUUUUCUCAGAAUCUGCAACUAUCAAAAGCUAAGGUGAAGAUGAAGAGACUGAGACGAUCCAGUAAAAAUGCAAACAGGAAAAUCCAGUAUGCUUGAUGGGAUUAUCAGGCAUGUUCUAUAUCCAGAAACAAGUUGAGGCAAGGUAUUGUGAAUCUUCCUUCCAUUGAGAAGUAAUUGGUAGCUGCUACAAGGAUAACUGCAUAACUUAUGGUCAAAACCGCAUAUUUCCAGGGAACUAUAAAUCUUCAUGAAAGAUAAAUUCUUGGACCCUUACGAUGUUUUUUUUGUUACACAUCAAGAUUGCUCUAGCCUUUGAUUUUAGUGUUACUGUCUUGAGGUAAGUAGAAUUGAAACUGAUUAUGUAUGAAGUUUUCUAUAUAGAAUCAGUCUAGCAAAUUGCAAAAUCUGAAUCUAUUUUCAUUCAAAAAAAUAAAAAAAAUCUGAAUCUAUUUCUAAUACAACUUACAAGACCAACGCCUUACUUAGGACUUUGCAGUAACUAUAAACUCUGACGGUAUUAGGCAACCCAUUCUCUGUGCUUUGCUUUAGUAUGGCUAAUCUGAUUCGCUUCGUGUGUGUUAAUAACUUUUUCGCUUUGUGUGUGUUAAUAACUUUUCCUCUGGUUCCAUGAUAUUUGAAGUUGUUUUCAUGAAUUCUUUCAGGUACCAGUUGAUAAGAAUACCUUCUAUAGGUUCGGGCACCUACAAAUUUGUAGAUUUGUUCGAAGACGUUGGGACAGCUGUGUUUGUUGAUUAAAUGAGAGACUACGGACCAGAUUUCAGAAAACAAUAACAACAGCAACAAGAUGUGACUCAAUGAGAAACUCUUUGAAAGCACACUCAGUCCAUCUUUGAGCACAUGGACUUCCUCUUGAUACUCACCAAUUACAACAACAUGACCAAGCAGGGGAGAGGGGAAGGAGUAUCAGCGGAGGUGAAGAAGAUGAGAGAGGAAGUAUAAUGUGUGUAGGAUGAUCCAGUGAAGAUCGUGUGUGAGAAGAAAGAGUUGAUGAGGAAGAAGGCAUUGGAGCUGAAGGAGUGGAAAUUGGGUACCAGUGGUAGGCGGUGGAGAUGGAAAAGCAGAGAGUGAGGUGGAUGAGAUAGCGUAGCAAGAAAGAAAUGGAUAAGGUUAUGCGAGAGAACUUGCGAGGAAGGCUUGAGAUGGAAAGGAUGGUUCAUAUUAUGAGGCGGAGAGAUAUGGUUAGCGGAGUUAAAGUCGUUGUGUAAAAAAGUUGAACCGAGUUCUGCAAUUGGUGAGCUGAUUAAUGUUAGGAGGAUACUGACACUGUCGACAUAAUCAGAAAAGGCACAACGUAUUUGCAUGAUUGAUUAGAAGAGAUUAAGCAUAUUUAGAGUUAUAUUUUUUGAGUUUGGUGCAAACAAAUUCAACAAAUAAAAAUUCAGUUGAAAUAUGUAAUAUAACCUAAUUACAGUUAAAA